CCUACGUGAGGCAGCAGUGAGGAAUAUUGGUCAAUGGGCGCGAGCCUGAACCAGCCAAGUAGCGUGAAGGAUGACUGCCCUACGGGUUGUAAACUUCUUUUAUAAAGGAAUAAAGUGAGGCACGUGUGCCUUUUUGUAUGUACUUUAUGAAUAAGGAUCGGCUAACUCCGUGCCAGCAGCCGCGGUAAUACGGAGGAUCCGAGCGUUAUCCGGAUUUAUUGGGUUUAAAGGGAGCGUAGAUGGGUUGUUAAGUCAGUUGUGAAAGUUUUCGGCUCAACCGUAAAAUUGCAAUUGAUACUGGCAGUCUUGAGUACAGUUGAGGUAGGCGGAAUUCGUGGUGUAGCGGUGAAAUGCUUAGAUAUCACGAAGAACUCCGAUUGCGAAGGCAGCUUACUAAACUGCCACUGACAUUGAUGCUCGAAAGUGUGGGUAUCAAACAGGAUUAGAUACCCUAGUAGUC
rnacentral:rRNA from 1 species